rnacentral:rRNA from 1 species
GACGAACGCUGGCGGCGUGCCUAAUACAUGCAAGUCGAGCGGAACUGGGGGAGCUUGCUCCUUCCAGUUUAGCGGCGGACGGGUGAGUAACACGUGGGCAACCUGCCCUGCAGAUCGGGAUAACUCCGGGAAACCGGUGCUAAUACCGAAUAGUUUGGCGCCUCUCCUGAGGCGCUACGGAAAGACGGUUUCGGCUGUCACUGCAGGAUGGGCCCGCGGCGCAUUAGCUAGUUGGUGGGGUAACGGCCCACCAAGGCGACGAUGCGUAGCCGACCUGAGAGGGUGACCGGCCACACUGGGACUGAGACACGGCCCAGACUCCUACGGGAGGCAGCAGUAGGGAAUCUUCCGCAAUGGACGCAAGUCUGACGGAGCAACGCCGCGUGAGUGAUGAAGGUUUUCGGAUCGUAAAACUCUGUAGUGAGGGAAGAACACGUACCAACUAACUAUUGGUACCUUGACGGUACCUCGCCAGAAAGCCACGGCUAACUACGUGCCAGCAGCCGCCGCGG